UACGUAGGGUGCAAGCGUUGUCCGGAAUUAUUGGGCGUAAAGAGCUCGUAGGCGGUCUGUCGCGUCUGCUGUGAAAACUCGGGGCUUAACCCCGGGCCUGCAGUGGGUACGGGCAGACUAGAGUGCGGUAGGGGAGACUGGAAUUCCUGGUGUAGCGGUGAAAUGCGCAGAUAUCAGGAGGAACACCGGUGGCGAAGGCGGUUCUCUGGGCAUGAUCUGACGCUGAGGAGCGAAAGUGUGGGGAGCGAACAGG
rnacentral:rRNA from 1 species